CUGGGAUCCCUGGCUUUGAGAACUACUGAUAGGUCCCCAUAAGCAUAGGUCUUGUUCUCCACUAUAUCCUGGGCAGCAAUAAGGAAUGAUAUCAGAUUCACAUCCUUACCGUCCAGGGUAUCUUUACGUAAAUGAAGAGGCACCAUGUGGGCAGGUGUGAUCAUUAGCGUAUCUAACUGUGAUACCGGGGCCACAACAUUACCCUGUAGAAUUGCUG